rnacentral:rRNA from 1 species
GACGAACGCUGGCGGCGUGCUUAACACAUGCAAGUCGAACGAUGAACCCGGAGCUUGCUCCGGCGGAUUAGUGGCGAACGGGUGAGUAACACGUGAGUAACCUGCCCUUGACUCUGGGAUAACUGCUAGAAAUGGUAGCUAAUACCGGAUACGACCCUCGGCGGCAUCGCCAGGGGGUGGAAAGAAUUUCGGUCAAGGAUGGACUCGCGGCCUAUCAGCUAGUUGGUGAGGUAACGGCUCACCAAGGCGACGACGGGUAGCCGGCCUGGGAGGGUGACCGGCCACACUGGGACUGAGACACGGCCCAGACUCCUACGGGAGGCAGCAGUGGGAAAUAUUGCACAAUGGGCGCAAGCCUGAUGCAGCAACGCCGCGUGAGGGAUGACGGCCUUCGGGUUGUAAACCUCUUUUAGUAGGGAAGAAGCGAAAGUGUCGGUACCUGCAGAAAAAGCACCGGCUAACUACGUGCCAGCCGCCGCCGUAA